rnacentral:rRNA from 1 species
UAGGGAAUAUUGGACAAUGGGGGCAACCCUGAUCCAGCCAUGCCGCGUGAGUGAAGAAGGCCCUCGGGUUGUAAAGCUCUUUUGUCCGGAAAGAAAAGCAUUCGGUGAAUACCCGGAUGUUCUGACGGUACCGGAAGAAUAAGCACCGGCUAACUUCGUGCCAGCAGCCGCGGUAAUACGAAGGGUGCAAGCGUUACUCGGAAUUACUGGGCGUAAAGCGUGCGUAGGUGGUUGUUUAAGUCUGAUGUGAAAGCCCUGGGCUCAACCUGGGAAUGGCAUUGGAAACUGGGCAUCUAGAGGGCGGUAGAGGGUAGUGGAAUUCCCGGUGUAGCAGUGAAAUGCGUAGAGAUCGGGAGGAACAUCUGUGGCGAAGGCGACUGCCUGGACCAGCACUGACACUGAGGCACGAAAGCGUGGGGAGCAAACA